UUACCAAAAUAUACCUGGAUAUUUGUGCCGAUCCUUCUACCUAUACAUUGGGUUUUGCUUGUGGCACACAUCCCCUCACGAAGGGCAUGUGUUCUGGACUCAGCACAUAAUAACAACAAUGAGCUACUUAUUAGUUUUAGUAAACUUAUGGAAGAAACAGAACUUGGAGGCAAGUGGGAUGAAUUGAAGCUACAAUCAGCCAAGCAAACGGAUGGCCACAACUGCGGAUCGUUUGUUUUGAUGAAUGCUUUAGCAAUAAUCAACGAUACAGACCCUGCAUUGUUGACAACAAGCGAUGCUGAAAAAAUGCGUGUCCUUGUGAUGGGAAGGCUACUGGAGGAAUCAACGAAAAAAAAAUCAUAUUUUUACAAUUGAUUUUGAGACACAAGACAGAGAAUUGACAAUAGCGAACUUCAUCAAUCAGAUUUUCAAGACAGACACUCGUACAACCAUCCAUUUCUUGUCUACGCCUGGCUGUUUAAGAUUGAGAUAAUUUAACAAAUUUACAUAUCGUAUGUUUAAUGAAAGUUUUUUUUAAAUGCGGUAAUAUAUUGCAUUUUCAAGACAGACACUAUUCUAACAUUUGGCCUGUUCUUGUCCACUUUAUCAAAAUGUAGUACAAGUACAGUACAUUAUUUUGGUAAAGGGUUUUUAGAAUAUUAGAAUAGGACUAUUUGAUACAAACGUGUGAAUAUA